GUGUGGCCUGAACCCGUUUUGGUUGUACUGCUAUGUUGUGGCCCUGCCCAGGCCUCCAAGGACUGGCUGCUGUUAAGCUGUUUAAAAUCCCUGUAGGCCUCAGAUGGCAGCGACACCAGGGACUCGGCAUAGUCCCCAGCUCUGGCAGGAGUCACCACAGCCCUAGCCUUUAGUUCUCUACAGGCUGGAGUGUCGACAAACUCCACAGGACACAACUUUUUCAAACCAAAUUUACCCUCGCGGUCUGAAAUGACCAGUAGGCCCAGGAGAAUUUUACAUGUGAACAGAACCUAACCCACCCUGGCAAAUAUGAGACGUGUGGUCACUGCGGGAACCUGGCCAGCAGCAGACCAAAGCACAGCCAGCAGGGGAAGGCUGGGGCCCGCAAGAGUUGUGUUACAACAGGACACCCUUCAGUUCUCUUUCACUUCCUUAAAAUAGCAGCAGAGCGACUUUUGUAGACGCAGGCUGCCACAGUUCACACAAGGUCAUGGCUGUUUCCGAAUCCCACCCUUUAUUGCCCUAGCGGAGCCACUCCCCUUACCUCCGCCCCCAGAAACUGCUAGCCUGUUCUUAAAUUGAUACAGUUACCUUUUUAAAUGUUCUAAGUCACCGGCUCUGGAGCUUCUUUGCACUUUGGAACCAACUUGCGGGAAGGAACUUUAAAAAUACUGAUAUCUCGAUCCAUCCCCAGAGGUUCUGAUUUAAUGGUCUUGGGGAUAUGGCCACGGCAUGAGGACUGUUAAAACUCCGCAGGUGAUUCUUAUGUGCAACAAAGUUUAAGAACCACUGAUGUAGGCCAUGUCGAUGUCAGUCUUCACUUAAAUCCAACAAGACCCCAGAGCUAAAACGUUCACCUGAAAGAAACCCCAUUCCCAGGCCUGCAUACUGACCUGCGCUGGCUCACAAGAAGCAAAGUGGUCCCUUAACAGGGGCUUCCUGGAGAAAAUGUCUUGACCUAAAAGAGUGAUUCGAGCUGCAGGGAUUUAAGGACCGAGCUGAAGAAGCCCCCGUCUUCCAGCGCAUGUUAUUCCCAUGACAGAUGCUAAAAGUUCAAGGGGAUAAUUCAAUACAAGAAAGAAGAUUUGCUUGGGAAGGUCUGAAUGGCCCUAGCUUUGUUUGUUAACCAUAACCUCUACCAGCUGGAAACACAAUGCCCCACUAAUACUAACAGUGCCUGCUUGUCCAAACAGCAUUCUGGCCACUUACAGCAAUUGACACAAAUUCUAACAGGUCUGUUAAUGUUUUUCAGAUCCUAAACUUGUAGUAGAUUUUUAUGUUCUCUGCAAUCAGUUUUGCUUCAGCGGCCCUGCAGGUGUUUAUGCGUGCUGGCAUGCUAAAUCUCACCAUUCAAAAUAGUUUAUUUUUUACAACAAAAUCUGAAGAAUAAUUUCUUCAUUUUGUCAAAAAAUACCCCAUUCCUAUUAUUUUUCUCUUCUUUAUCUUCACAGGUAGAUGGGGCAAAGCAUUACCUUGUGUAAAACUGCUGCUAAAAUAUAUUCCUAGUGAGAAAGGUCAACUUGUGGGCUAAAGUCCUUGUCACCUCCUGAUCAGUUUUCACUUAGGGCACAGCAGUCUGCCAUUCACCAUUGGGAUCUCUGUGUGUUUCUUCUCUCUUAUGAAAGGACAUAUUGAGCGCUCUAGGACUUGGCUGCCUACAUCAAGUAGAGGGGGACCCUCAUGAUUCACUAAGGGGCCUCAGUUCUGAAUAUUUCUCAUUAUUCAAAAAUGCAAAGCCAUUGUCAUUACGUGGCAGUUUAUUGGAACCAAGGGAGGAAUUGGUCCCUUUUCAUGUUCUUCUCCUAAAUAGAGAAAAGGUAAUUAAAACUUGGAGCUUAAUAAGGGCCAUCUCUAUUUGAACAGCCUAAUACAAAUCCAUUCUCAAUACCUUUUUACACCUUGUCUGAACUGACUUCUACUGUGUACUCCACUGCAUGGGAAUUCUGGAACUUUAGAACGAAGGGAACUCAAUUCAUUCUAUAUAUAUCUCAUUCAUUCAUUUUUUUUUCAUUUGUUCACCAAAUGCUAACUCAAUACCUACGUAACAGAGAUAAUGUUCUUAUUGUCUGUAAAUCAGAAAAUGCAUGCAUUGAAUAAACGCCAUAUAUUCUUGGAAGCUGAGGGCUGAUAACUCAAGGUAAAUGAUCAGCUAGUCUCCUAUGAAAUAAGUAUCUUAUUUCAUGUUACAUGUAGAAAUGACCAUGCAACUUUAUCUUAAAGCCAGGCCUUAUUGAGAAAAAGGGGAUCCAAAUUCCAAAUGUUUCCUUACAUGCUGAGAGGAAACCUUGGAGGUCUGAGCGUGAGUCAUAGGUAGAGGGAAAUCAUGCUAAGAUAUAUAUUGUUUCCACCAGACAGGUAGAGGAAGCAGAGACCCUUUGGCAGAAGAGAUACAGAGAAGAGAGGAGGAGAGGUUCUGGCUUUACCGUUCAGGCUUGAAACCCCAAGUUUAGAUGGAUUGAGGGGGAAGCUUAAGGCAAACAUGACCCCUGGGCCAACACAGGCUAGAGGAACAAUGUAGAAAUGACCAUGUAACUUUAUAGGCAUGAAGAAGAUGCCUGUGAUGGCACUGAGUCUCCUGUGGCUCCCUUGUGUGCCCAAAUGCCUGAAGGAUGUGAGAGUAUUGGUUGUUAGAAUUUCAGGGAAUUCCACCAAGUGGGGAAUGACUCUGUAUUAAGGGCUGCAAAGAAAAGCUCCCAGGCCAAGCAUUGAGUGGGAGGUGCUACCUGCCCUCAGGGAUCCACAGGGACUUCAACAGCUGAUGUGGGGUCUCAUCAGCCUCAAGGUGGCCAAGUUUCUAUGCUGAGACUAUAGCCCACAGUUACACCAGCCAUGAUCCUCAGCAGC
rnacentral:lncRNA from 1 species